AGGGCAGUCAGCUCCCUGAGCUGGUCACCAACAAUUUGCUCAAGUAAGGCCGGACUAUAGGUUUACCAUAAGGGUAGGCCUUCAUGACGAAUUUGGUGCCAGGGGCCUGGUAGAGGUAGGGUUAAUGUGAGGCGGGAAGCGG